UUUGAGUCGGGUUCAGUAGUUUCAGGUCUCUAGAUACCAAAAUUUUGAAUAUGUUCGGAUAUUUAACCAAUAUUGUUCGGCACUAUCUUUUUUUGAUCACAUUCGGUUUGAUUUUUUUGAUUUGGAUUUUUUGCCUCCUGUAACUAAGUUUGAUUAAUAUGCGGGUAUAAGUAGAAAAUGUUAUGGAUGCAAGUAAUUGCAAAUUAAUCGAGAACAACAACAUAAUAUACAGCUUUGAAACUUUACAACAAAGAUAUAAUUGUUUACUGAAUCGAGAAAAAUAUAAUUUAUUAUAAGAUAAAAUAUUUAUUUUAAUUAGUUUUUCUUAAAGUCAAGUGUGAGGAGGACAAAAGGUUUGGUGUGUAUGAUUAUAGUUUAUGGGCUGCACAUGAUAUAUUUAACGAGUUAUUGUGGACCUUUUACACAUAAUCAAGCUGCUCUUUGUUGUGUG
rnacentral:lncRNA from 1 species